UACAGAGGUCCCGAGCGUUGUUCGGAUUCACUGGGCGUAAAGGGUGCGUAGGUGGCCUGGUAAGUUUGAUGUGAAAGCUCAGGGCUCAACCCUGAAAUGGCAUUGAAUACUAGCGUGCUGGAGGUUUGGAGGGGGGACUGGAAUUCUCGGUGUAGCAGUGAAAUGCGUAGAUAUCGAGAGGAACACCAGUGGCGAAGGCGAGUCCCUGGACAACACCUGACACUGAGGCACGAAAGCCGGGGGAGCAAACAGG
rnacentral:rRNA from 1 species